rnacentral:sRNA from 1 species
ACUAGACUAACUUACUCGACCACACCCAGUGUCUGGCAACAGACUGUGCAGUCGAGUAUAGUUGUUU